rnacentral:tRNA from 1 species
UUGCCCAUCGUUAGCCAUCACUAUAUGAUGCGGCUCAUAACCGCUUGGUUGGGGGUUCGAGUCCCUCCGGGCCCACCA